rnacentral:tRNA from 1 species
GACGGUAUAGUUUAAGGGUUUAAGAUGUUUGCUCUGCGAGCAUUCGGUGAGGUUUCUCUAUCGUUG